GGGUCGUUGGAGAUACCGUUAAGGAAGGCCGUCGGUCUAAUGUUCUCUCAUAAACGUACUAAUGAUCUCUGUCCUUUCCUCAACCACAAAAUCACGAUUGCCAUGGGAUUUUUCUUCUAGAUUUUCUUCAUAUACUUUUCGAGCGCUCCAAUCAAUUUUUCUCUAAAUUCAUAGUCGCGCUCGAUAAGCGGAUAAACCAAUUCCAGCAUGACGCAGGGAAUCAAAAGGGGAGACGACCAGAAGGUAGUAACCACAUGACUAAUAUAUUCUUCUUCAAGAUAUUGUACGAGUUCUUGGAACAACACUUAAGAAGAAUGUGAGCAACCAGUGCAAAGGAAUCCUUGACUUGGGAAAGCAUGGACACUAAAGCUUUUCUAUCAAAAGGACGAUACCUAAGCUAUGACUGGCGCGGAUCGUUUAAGAAGUUUAAGGGAAAAGUUAUAUAGUUGUAUGUUGAAGUAACUCUGUGUAUAUGGUCAAAAUAAAGGAGCCCGAUCUCGAAGUCUUAAAUUGAGCUAUGAGUCCGAGUCCGGGCGACUCGAAGUGGAGGUCGGACCCGGCUGAAGGACACACACCUCGACGAAGCAGAUCGAAGGCCUGGCACGACCUACAUCGAGGGUAGCACAAUCUCGAGGACACUCAAGAAAGAGCGGGAAUUUCUCAAGGACACGUGGAUCAAGGCAUAAAUUAUAGGAUAAGAUUUGUAU